ACCAUAACAAAAAGUUCCCUCUCUCUUUCACUCUCACUCUCACUUUUUUCUGUGCUUCUCUUUCUCUCUCCUUUCACGCUCUUCAAAUAGUGUAGAGAGGAAAAAAGGGUCUCAAAGAUGAAACCAAAAGACGGGUUUUUUGUUGAAGGUCCAUAUAAGGGGUUUCUCAUCAUGCACGUGACUAGCAGCAAGGUGGCCAUGGUCAACCCUCUGAGAAUUGGGAGCUGUGACCAAAAAGAAGCCAUUAGUGGCUCUGAAAUUGGAGCUGACAAUUCUCCUGGAGUGCUGGCAGCAGCUGCAGGAGCUUCAUUCUAAUAUGGUGCUAUCCUAUCUGAGCUUUUCUACCUUCUCUCAUCUUUCUUCUUCAUCUAGUUUCUACCACACUUGUUUGUUUUUCUUUGGACUCUUCUUGACCUUGUAAGACCUUUUCUUGACCUUGUAAGACCUCACACCCUAUCUGUUUUCUUUGUUUUUGCUUUUGUGGAAGACCCUAUAUCAGAAUCCACUGAUAUAGAGUUUGAUCUCCUUCUUUCCCUGUUGCCACCCAACUCAUCCUCUCCUUCCUUGUCUAUCCCUCCUGAGCUGUUACAAUUUUGGCCUACCAAGAUGCAACGACUAAUAUCAUGCCAUGGCUUCAAACAAAAUGAUUAAGCCUUAGAACCUCCCUCAAAUAAUGUUCUUCAAAUCUGCUAGCUAUUCGGAGACCAUGGCUUCCAAAAGUACAACUGGGUAUAUUUUAUUUGCUGUUCUUUUAUUUGCGAAAGAUCAAUGUAGCUUGUACUUUGUGCAGCAGCUAGCAUGCUUGGUCGUGGUCCUUAAGGUAGGUAGGUAUGUAUGGUAAGUUGUAAAGAUUGGCCAUAGUUAAUAAAUCAAUGUUGCUUGUAUUCUGAGGAAUUCAAAAGCCUUCUGUGUAAUUUUCUGUUAAGGCAAUCAAUUUCGCUUGUAUCA